AUACCUUUCUCGGUCUUUUGGCUAAGAUCAAUUAUGAUAUUUGUUUUUAUCCGUGUAAUAUAUGGUAUGUGGAUUAUAUGUUCACAAUGAUAAUAAAUUUAUUUUUUAUGGAAGAGUGUCUACUAUAGUAACUUGUUGUUGGGGCUCUCAUGUGCCGUUUAGGUGUUGCUCUACAUCCUAGCACUAUUAGGAGAAA
rfam:Hordeum vulgare subsp. vulgare, WGS project CAJW01000000 data, contig: morex_contig_1593503